GCUCCUUGUCUAUCCUGUCCUUUAUCCUCCUCCCCUCCUCCCCGUCAUCUCCUCCUCUCUCCUCACCUGUCCUUGUGUGAUCAGUGAAGUGUGAAAGGUCUGACUGGGAUUAUCUCCAAUAUGGCUUCUGUCACCUACAGUACCAACAAGGUCACUUCAGCCAUCACACUGGGACAUAACAGGGAGGCAUCUUAUGUGAUUGCAUAUUGCUUCUACCCCUAUGGGACAUGUCAAGGCCUUUGUUGCAGAGAUGAGGAAAGUGUUUAAGACUAUGGGAUAUGACCAGACAAGUUGAGACUGUUUGGAUAAGACCCGGGAGGAUAAUUGAGUAUGCCAAUGGACUCAUGAGCUAGAAACACAUUUCUAACUUUAUAAAGUUAUUAUAUAGAUUAGAGUUAAUCUGUAGUUCUCCAAAUACGUUUUGAAAUUCGCAGUUCACACAAAAUGCUGAUACAAAUGCCUGGCCUAAAACCCUGGAGAAGAUAGUUGAAACUCCCUAGAAAGGCAGCUACUUAGAAAGAAACCUAGAGAGGAAAGGGGCUCAGGGGGAAGGCCAGCGCUGAUUUAAGAUUCUAAGAAAACAUAGCCAUUAAGACCGGGUCGUUCUUCCACUUGAUGAAGCCACUGGCCGUAGACUGGUGAGGAGGACGAGAGGAUGAUGAGGAGCAGGAACAGUGUGGUUGUUGUGUACAAAAGACAGUAGAGGGUUAAAUAAUCACAGGGUUUUACCUUGUAAAAAGAUGGGAGAAGGAGACUGAAUUCUGGGAGAUAUAGGACAUGAAUACUGGAGAAUCAGAGGCUUGACCAGACAGACUGAUUGCAGUAUUUCAUUCCUCUUCUCCACAGCAAGGCUGUUUCCUUCCUCGUCCACUCUAUCAGUCUUUCCAUCUGUCUCUCAUAACGGCUUCACUGGCUGAUGGCGUGUGUGUCUGUGUCUUUGUACGCGCGUAUUUGUUCGGUUUAUUCAGGGUCAAUUGAAGAUGAGGGUCACACCAAGAUGAACGCCUCCAGCUCAUCGUCUCUGCACAGACAUAUGGACAGCCAUCACACCCAGAGGGGUCAACUGAACUUCUCUCCGUUCGGUUCAGGGGCUGCGCUCUAAGGCAGGAGUGGGCAUGGAGCAGGGCCCACGUUUAGGGACGGGGUGAGUGUGGACCGCCACGCCAUAUCCAACCCUUCUUCGCUCCCCUUCAGCACUUGUUCUGGUUCUGUCCAUUUCCUGCAUCACGCCACCCCACGUAUAAGUUCCCACGAACCCCAGAUAUUUGAUCAGGUUCUCAUUUCUUUGGUCUUGACCAUCUGGAAGGUCAUUUGAAAAUUGGCCCCAGGGAUCAGGAGGUCUAGGGGACAGCUUCAUCCUACUUUGCUUCUCUCAUUGCCUCAGAAAGGAAAUUGCAGCUCUGGCUAAUAAUCCACAUCUCACUCUCGGUCCAGACAUUCGGUGGGGGGGGGGGGUGUUUAUCUCAAAGCACCUCGGCCAACUGACCGGGUGAAAUCUCCAACAAGUCGUUAGUAGGGGAAGCAAGUGUAAAAACCUCCCCAUGGGGGGAGAGGUAAGGUUACAUUUAUAGAAGGAAUUAGAGAAGGAAGUUCCUACGGUCCGAUUGAGGAGAGGCUCAGAUUGGGGCGCAGCGUUUCAGUUAGCUAACGAAAGCCAAUUGACACCGCUGAGAGAAGUGUGCUGGAGCAGUGGGUUGUGAAGUGUAGGGGGUUGUUCAGGACCUGGCCCGUGACGAGCUAACGGCGGAUUUCCCCCCCGGGGCGGUGGGUGAGGUGGGCUGCGGGGAGUUCCGAUGAAGCGGCAUGUCAGCCUGUCCUGUGGAGAAGGUCAGUGAGGGUUGGGCAGUUGACCAGCCCAGGGGGUGAAGCAAACUGUUGACGGGAACAGUGCGGUGACCCGGAGCUCACCUCGCUGUACGCCGCUUAGGGACGGAGGGGGCUCUGCCUGCAGCAUAAUUACCGCCUCAUUAUGUGUACAGGCACCAGUCAAAGGCGGACAUGUUUGGAGAACGUCAAUUGCACGUUUGGAGAACGUUAAUCACACGUUUGGGUGCGGGCCCUGGUUCUCAGCUCCUCCGU
rnacentral:lncRNA from 1 species